UACAGAGGUCUCAAGCGUUGUUCGGAUUCAUUGGGCGUAAAGGGUGCGUAGGCGGCGCGGUAAGUCGGGUGUGAAAUCUCGGAGCUUAACUCCGAAACUGCAUUCGAUACUGCCGUGCUUGAGGACUGGAGAGGAGACUGGAAUUUACGGUGUAGCGGUGAAAUGCGUAGAUAUCGUAAGGAAGACCAGUGGCGAAGGCGGGUCUCUGGACAGUUCCUGACGCUGAGGCACGAAGGCCAGGGGGAGCGAACGGG
rnacentral:rRNA from 1 species